UGUGGUGGCAGGCAGGCAGGUUCCUACCGAGAGUCUUCAGCCAGGAUGGAGAUGUCUUCGGGCGUUGUCUCGUUGCGACGCUGUUCGCCGAAGACGGUCGGCCCCCCGGCCCGGAACCCGUCUCUGCCUCGGUCCCAGGCCCUCGUUUCUCAGACGGAGAUGCUGAGGCUUCGUGCGAAGCGCUGACUUGAUAAGAGCUGUGGAUUCUUAACAAGCCAAGUUGUAAGCGAUUCCUGGGAAGCGCGGCUCCAGGGACUCCUGGAGGAAUCUGUACAGAUGGCAGUGGGAACCCUGAGGAAGUUAAAGAUCAAGGAGAGUUUCGACAGUUCAGGAAGCCAUCACAGGUCCCUCCUGCAAGAAGUCAAUUUUCUGUCCUCUGAAACCCCCAAGCGCUUUUCCUAUAUGACCUUACUUUUCACGGUAUGUUCAGGCCCCACUGCCCACUGAAUAUUUUCCUUCUGGAAGGAUCUGACCUCCUGUUGUGCCCACAUGCUCAUCCCUGUACAUGAGUAGGUACUCAAUAAACAUUUUAAAAUAAGUGUCAGUUUAUCAAUA